GUCUUUCUCUUCUUUCAGAACUACAUUGUUAAAUUUGAGUCAAAUUUAUUCAGAGCAUUCACCUUCAGUAGUCAUUUUCCAAUGUGAAGGACAAUAUGCAAACAGCUGAGGCAAAUAUAUUAAUGACAAAUGCUCAAUAAUCCAUACAGAAUAACAAUAGUUAUGUUAAUUGGGCACUUAAAAUGUGCUAGGCUCCGAGCUAAGCACUUUCAUUUUCUAACUUGUUGAAUCUUCGCAACAACCUUAAUAUAAGUACUGUUAUUAUCUGUUUUACAAAUGAGCAAGUUAGGAAAUAGAAGCCAAAAAAAUUUUGAAAUGAUUUGCCACGGUCACACACUAGUAUAUGGCAAAGCCAGGAUCUGAACCUAGGCAUUCAGGCUCCAAAGCCUAUGUCAUUAACCACUUGACCAUACCACUUCUUGUGACAGACAUCUGCUUUACCAUCAGAUUGGUAUAUGCAUUUAUUACAAUUUGCAAUUAUUUACUGUGUAUUAGUUAUUGCUAAUGUCUGUGUAUUAGUUAUCUAUUGGUACAUAAAAAUUACCCUAAAACAUAGCAGCUUAAAAUAAACAUUUAUCAUCACAAUGUUUCUGUGGGUCAGGAAUACAGUAGGGCUUAGCUGGAUGGUCUGGACAAGAUCUUUCAUGGGGUUUCAGUCAACCUUUUGGUCUGGGCUACUGUCAUCUCAAGGUUCAGGUGGGGCUAAAGGAUUCACAUUCAAACUCACUCAUGCGGCUAUUGGCAAGCCUCAGUUCAUUCCUCCUCAAGUGGGCCUUUCCCCAGGCUGCCUUAGUGUCCUCAUAACAUGGCAGCUUCCCACAGAGUACACAGCCCAAAGACAGCAUGUGAGCAACUAAAACAGAAACCGCAGUCUUUUUUAUAACCUAAUCUCAGAAGUUACAUAUCACUACUUCUGCCAUAUGCUAUUGGUCACAUAGACCAACCGUGGUAAAAUGUGAGAGGACUACACAAGGAGAUGAAUACCAUGAAGUGGGGAUCCCUGGGGCCCAUCUUGAAGAAUGGCUACCACAAUUUAUUUGUACAUAUUUUUGUGACUACCUCCUCCACUAGAAUGUAAGUGUCAUGAGUGGGAGAAAUGAUCAGUGUUGUUCACUGUUGUAUUCCCUGCCACAGCACCUGCCAGGUAACAGA
rnacentral:lncRNA from 1 species